UCUCAAACCCGAUUGUAAUGGAAAUACUUUUUUUAUCUCUUCCGAUAAUAACUUUGUCAUGCUGAGCUUGUCGAAGAAUUUCUUGCCACGAAGAUGCUUCGACAAGCUCAGCAUGACAGCCCUGAAAAAAAGAUUGUAAUGAAAAGCGGGACUGACU
rnacentral:sRNA from 1 species